GAAGCAAAACAGAUGACUCUUUUAGCUCUGAAAAGUGGUGUUGAAAGUGGUGCUGCCGGGGGGCGUGCGGCGUGGACAGACAGGUGAGAUCCACAGAGAAGAGGCUCCCUGCCUCUCAGUCUCCUCUCUCUUUCUCACGCACGUGCACACACGUGUGCCCUGGGCUCACUCUUCAGCCAUACACUGAGCUGUAUUUUCCUCAGUGCUACCAGACCCGCAGGCUCCCAAUUUGGCAAGGAAGGAAAAACUAAUUAUGGCUUCAUGUCCUGCAAGAAAGAGCCUGCAGCGGCUCUUCAGAAACCUGCCGGUGGGUCAGAAGCACGGCCAGGCCGCCUGCAAACGCCUUGCUGGAAAAAUCUCUCUCUGAGCAACUGAGCCGGGUCCUGUGUGCUGGAGGGGACACUGAGAGGCCACAGGGUGGGGAGUGGGCGGGCAGUGAGGCUGGUGACCACCGGCACAGCACCAGGCUCCCACGCAAGGGGAAUCCUGGGGCUUUGGAAAAAGUCAAGUCGCAGUUUCACGCACGAUCCCCACGCAGCUGUGCCAAGCAGUGCCAAGGCUGUGCUGAGAUCAUCGGUGUCUGCCCUGUCAGAGGGGCUCGUGCUCUGAGAGAUGGAGCGAAAAGUAAACUUUGCCCACCAAGAAAACCUGGUAUCCCAACAGUUGUGGAGCUGCUGUGACACCGACUGCUGGCUGCCCUGUGAGGUCCAGUCCCCGCAGGUUUCAUCCAAGACCCCCAUUCCAGCUGACACAGAGCAUUUUAAAAUAAAACCCUGUCUUUUCCUGUGUCUUGGCCAGCGGGGCUGCAUUCAAGAAAGUACAGCAGCCUUUCCUGACAGCCUCCUCCACGCCUCGACCCUGCAGCCCCUGCCUCUCCCCUGCGCUCCCCCUGCCCUCCCGCCCAGGUCUGUGUUUUCUGCCAGGGCGUCCGGUUCUUUCCUUCUGCUCUCAGCUCUCAUCUGCCCCUCAUCUUGCCUCACAGGGCUCCAGCUCUGGGCUGACAGUGACGGUAACAGGGACGUGUGCCGAUGACUCAUCCCGUCCCUCACAUGCGUGUGUGUCUAGCCCUUGUCUCGCUGUGCUGCCUCCAUCCACAUCAAGUGGCACAAAUGGAAACGGGUCACCACUGUCCUUGGGAUGAGCCUGGUGUCAUGGCUGAGUGGUUCUGUCACCAAGUCUUUUCGUGGUUUGCCAUAGAGGUGUCUUUCCAGAAUCAUUUUUUUUUUUAUGGACUUGAUUGAAAUGGGUCAGAUUAGCCAUGCUCCUGAAAUUCUGCCAUCAGCCCACACACAUGCACACACACAUGCACACACGCACACACAUGCAUGCACACACAGGCAGACACAUCACACACAUGCACACAUGCAUGCACAGACACAUCACACACAUGCAGACACAUCACACACAUGCACACACAUGCAGACAUCACACAAUGCACACACAUGCGCACGUGCACACAUAUCACACACAUGCACACACAUUCUCACACAUGUAGACACAUCACACACAUGCAUGCACACACAUGCACACACGCAUGCACAGACACAUCACACACAUGCACU
rnacentral:lncRNA from 1 species